AGAACGAACGCUGGCGGCAUGCCUAACACAUGCAAGUCGAACGCUUGCCCGGUUUCGGCCGGGCAGGAGUGGCGCACGGGUGAGUAGCGCGUGGGAACCUGCCCUGUUGUGGGGGAUAACCGAGGGAAACUUCGGCUAAUACCGCAUGCGCCCGGAGCAAUCCGGGGAAAGAUUUAUCGCAGCAGGAGGGGCCCGCGUCGGAUUAGGUAGUUGGUGGGGUAACGGCCCACCAAGCCUGUGAUCCGUAGCUGGUCUGAGAGGAUGAUCAGCCACACUGGGACUGAGACACGGCCCAGACUCCUACGGGAGGCAGCAGUGGGGAAUAUUGGACAAUGGGCGCAAGCCUGAUCCAGCAAUGCCGCGUGAGUGAUGAAGGCCUUAGGGUUGUAAAGCUCUUUCGCCCGCGACGAUGAUGACGGUAGCGGGAGAAGAAGCCCGGCUAACUUCGUGCCAGCAGCCGCGGUAA
rnacentral:rRNA from 1 species